rnacentral:rRNA from 1 species
CAGCAGCCCGAGUGGUGGUCGUUUUUAUUGGGCCUAAAGCGUCCGUAGCCGGUCUAGUAAAUCCUUGGAUAAAUCGUACAGCUUAAAUGUACGGCUCCCGGGGAGACUGCUAGACUUGGGACUGGGAGAGGUCGGAGGUACUCCAGGGGUAGGGGUGAAAUCUUGUAAUCCUUGGGGGACCACCAGUGGCGAAGGCGUCCGACUAGAACGGGUCCGACGGUAAGGGACGAAGCCCUGGGGCGCGAACCGGAUUAGAUACCCGAGUAGUCC